UGAUAUUAGAGGACGGAUUUCCGUCUGAGACGGGAAACUCGUCCAGAUAUAAAUUCGGUUAAUUUAAUUUUUUAAUUAAUUUUUUAAUUUAAUUAAAAAAUUAAAUUAACCGAAUUUAUGUAUAUCUGGACGAGCUUCCCGUCUCAGACGGAAAUCCGUCCUCUAAUAUGA